rnacentral:tRNA from 1 species
AGUGCGGUAAGCUAACUAAGCUAUUGGGCCCAUACCUCAACUAUGGAGGUUAAACUCCUCCCUUCACUA